AAAAAAAAAAAGAAAGAAAAAAAAAAAAAGAAAGUUGACAGUAAUCCCUGGUGCAAACUUAAUACGGAUGAAUAUUCCCGCUCAACCCGUUCACAUUGGUGAAAAACCCAACCCGGUAUGGCAAAUACGAUUUCCNNNNNNUGCUCCUCUUUCAUCGCUCUAUUGCUUACGUAGAGCCUCUCGUGCGCCGACGAUGCCUUUGCUUCCUUCUUCGCCACUGGCUUCUGCUUUUUCUCCGCUGCUUUUUCGCUUUUCUCAGCCUUUAUAGUUUUUCCACUGGCUGUUGCUGUUAUUGUUGAAGGAUUUUUG
rnacentral:misc_RNA from 1 species